rnacentral:rRNA from 1 species
AGUGAACGCUGGCGGCGUGCUUAACACAUGCAAGUCGAACGAGAACGGAAUAUAGCUUGCUAUAUUUGUCAGCUAAGUGGCGCACGGGUGAGUAAUGUAUAGAUAACCUGCCCUUAAGAAAGGAAUAACAGUUGGAAACGACUGCUAAUGCCCUAUAUGCCUUUAAUACAUAAGCAUGCAAGGGAAACGCUUUAGUGCUUAAGGAUGGGUCUGUAUGGUAUCAGCUUGUUGGUGAGGUAACGGCUCACCAAGGCUAUGACGCCUAACUGGUUCGAGAGGAUGAUCAGUCACACUGGAACUGAGACACGGUCCAGACUCCUACGGGAGGCAGCAGUGGGGAAUAUUGCACAAUGGACGAAAGUCUGAUGCAGCAACGCCGCGUGGAGGAUGACACAUUUCGGUGCGUAAACUCCUUUUAUAUAGGAAGAUAAUGACGGUACUAUAUGAAUAAGCACCGGCUAACUCCGUGCCAGCCGCCGCCGUAACAC